rnacentral:rRNA from 1 species
UACGUAGGGUGCAGGCGUUAAUCGGAAUUACUGGGCGUAAAGCGUGCGCAGGCGGUCCUUUAAGUCAGAUGUGAAAUCCCCGGGCUUAACCUGGGAACUGCGUUUGAAACUGGAAGGCUAGAGUGUGGCAGAGGGGGGUGGAAUUCCACGUGUAGCAGUGAAAUGCGUAGAUAUGUGGAGGAACACCGAUGGCGAAGGCAGCCCCCUGGGCUAACACUGACGCUCAUGCACGAAAGCGUGGGGAGCAAACAGG